rnacentral:lncRNA from 1 species
GCGCCUCUGGGACUGUCUACAUUCUGCUGGCUCAGUCACUAGCCAGCGUUUGCAGUGGGAAGGCGCUGGUUCCACACCUAGACAGAGGUGUUCAGUCAGGGUGCUCAGAGGAAGGCACAAGGGAGUCCCAUGGUCUCAAGGGCAGCGGUGCCUUGACUGAGCCUUACUUUCAUCCCUGUGAUCGCCCCAUCUACACGUCCUGUCAGCUCUAGCAGGGAUGUUCAUGCUGUAUGUGGGCGCUGUUUUGAUAGGAGAUGUAUGGUGGAAAACUUCUCAUCUAAUAGAGACAACAGGUGCUUUAAAAUAUUAAACCUGCCAUGACAGUAGCAAUGUUCUUCUUUCAACUUACCUCAUGGCAAACUAGAAGCCUUGCUGAAGGAACGUCUGCCCAAAAGCAGGGCAGCGGUGUUGACUCACCCUGCACUCUCCUCAAGCUGUGUUCUCCAGGCUUUCCUGGGUCUGGCACACCAGGGUGAAUGCAGGGAACUCUGGACUGGGUCCUCUGGGCACUCAAACCCUUACAGGCCUAGCUGGAGGUGUGCUCAGCCUUCCUCCCAUGAUGGACACCUUGUAAUAUCUGCCUUCAAGAGUGCGUUUGGUGAACAAAAUGUCUUCCAUGGAGUCUUAAACAAAACAAAAACCACGCCUGUGUUUUAAUCUUUAAAAAAAAACAAAAAA